UGUUUAAUAAUAAAUCAAAACAAAUGUUUGUAAUUCUUUUCUUCUUUAAUGUGAAAAUGGAAAACUGACACCUUGUCUUCUGUACCAAAAUGUCUAGUGUUCCAUUUUGUGUUCUGAGCAUGAAAAGAAUAUGUGCACUGUUAGAAUUCUGAUACAUCAAUCGUAUCAUGUUUAGUUUUCAGUACUAUUUUGCCCUAAAAUUCAAUAAUGUUAAUUUAUAGUGCUUCCUUUCUUCUAUUAAGAUUAAUCGAGAAAAGUAAACAGCAGUGUUAUUUCAUUGUGAUUAAGUCUGAAAUACACUUGUAGGAGUUCGGUCUUCAAAUCUACAGUUUUGAGAAAGAAGUUCAGGCUAUUACUUUUAUUUCUGGAAAGCUCAUUCCACUGUAGUUAAACCGGAUUAUUCCCAACAAAAUGAGGUUCUCAGUGGUAGUUUUUUUAGAAAUGAGUGAAUUGAUCUUACAUUUUUUAGCUACAGUGUAUAGAUCCAUAACUCACGGACACUCUUGAAAAGAAAGAUUCCAAGUGUUUCAGUGGUCUAGUUUUUCUGAGUUGGAUGGAGAUUUUUCCUUGGAUCAUAUGAACAAGUCGGUUUCUUUCAACAAUACAAAAAACUGUUCCCAACCCAAAACCGCUUAAACUGAUCCAGCCAAACUCCAUGAAAUACAGCAGAAUAUGACAUCCGUGCCUCAGUAGGGUCACACAAAUCAUUGCCUAUCAGCAGUUGAAGCCACAGAAGCAUAUCCAGUGCUGGUGUUAUUUACUACAUCCCUGACAUUUUCUAGUUCUAACCUUUUACUACUAAGCUAUUGGUGGUGAUUAAAGUAAUGAAGAGGCAUAAGUUCUAUGUCUUUAUUCAUGUUGCCUUACUAAGUUCACAAUAAGUCUGACAUUAACGCCAAUCAGAUCACAGAUCACAACAUGUAAGCAGGCAGAUUAAUAUUGACUACUCUACCUUCAAACUAUCAAGAUUAGCCUGGCACCCAAAAAUAAGUCAUUUCCUGAUAAUUAUGUCCACCAUAAUGGUAUCAUAUCCAAGCAACCUUCUAGCCAUGAAUCCUAAUCAACUCCAUGAAAAAAGAUAUAUAUGCUGUAUAGUAUAUGUAGUAUAUAUAUGUACUAACAUACUAAGUCAUCAGCUAAAACACUAGAAAUUAUUUAACUUUCUUAUAUAAUUUGUGCUGUAGAUUCUUAGCCAUAUUUUUAAAACACUAAGCGACAGGACUUCCGGUUGCUUCUGUUUGGGAUAUAUCAUGUCUGUUGCAUUCAGUAGACAGUCUUUAACAAACUCACCAUUUAUCAGUGGUUUCGAUGCCCAGGCAAAAUUUUCCUUUAAUGUAUUGUGGCAUUUAACUACAGUGUCAUUCAGUGUAUUCACAUAAAAAAAAAACCACACACACUUUUAAAAUGCCUGCCUUCUUUUGAGUUUAGAGUUUUUCAUCAUGCAUCUUUUUUCAUACAGAACAUAGUCAAGACUGUAUUUUAUGGCAUAAUGUAUAUUUUUUUGACAUAAAACACAACCUUCUCUGGGUACCUUUCAUUUCAGAAAAGCAGUGCACGGGACUUUAGUAGAUCUGGUGUGUGACAUUGAACCAGGCAACUUAACUUCUCUGGGUCUCAAAUUCUCUGUAAAUGAUGGCUGGUCACCGGAUAAACUCUAAGGUCCUACCAAUUCUAAUAUUUAAAAUUUUUAUGGCCCUAAGUCCUAAUGGAUCCUUGUGGUCCCAGUGACUCCUCUAUCUUAGAGGCAAGCUACCUGCAAGAGAGACUUUUCCCAAGGAAAAUGAGCCUGUACCCCAAGCUGUAAUACUCACAGCAAAGCAGUAGAAUUAUUAGCAGCUCGAGCAUUGCCUAACCUUCGAUGUGACCACCUGCAAAGUAUUUCAUUGCUUUUCACUUUGUGUCCACCUUUAUAUAAACUAGAGAAAGGGAAGAAGGAAGAUGGGGGAAAUGGAGGCGGGAGGGAAUCUAACGUUGUGCACCUACUGCAAAGUCAGGAGUAUGCUUGGCCUUUGAUAUACAAGGUCUCAUUUAAUGCUCCUGAUAAAACCAUGUAUGCAAGAGAUGGUAGUAUCCUCACUUUACAGAUAAGGAAAAGAAGCUCAGAGAACUUAAGUAUUCUGGCCAAGGUGACACAAUUAGCAGCAGAUCCAGGACUCGAGCAGCUCAGUUUGGCCCCAAAGCCCAUGUUGUAUCCAUUAUUCAUUGCGUGAUUCUUGGUUCUAGUGCACAGGAUUCCUUGCUAGGGAGUGUCCUUCGGUCACCCAUCUUCUAGGAAAUCCAUGCUAAACAAGAAUUCUCUCUUCUCUUAUGCUCGUUGGGCCUGGAGGUUAUGGAUCAACCUUAGAUCAACUGGCCAGAAUGAGGAGAGACAAAGCCAGGAUGAGGAGCCUGGUGUGGAGGUAAACAAGGCCAGAAGCUGAAGGUCCAGGCAGAGUCCCGAGUCCAGGCUGGUGCAUCAGCUGAUUGGACUGAGAUGUCAAACGUGGAAAUAGGAACACAAGAAUAGAAAAGUCACCUUGCCAAGCUCUCCACACCCAGGAGAGAACUGAGAGGAAGAUUAUGCCUGAGCUAACAUCUGUGCCAAUCUUCCUCCAUUUCCUUUUUUUGGAUGUGGGAUGCCAUCACAGCAUAGCUUCAUGAGCAGUGUAUAAGUCCAUGCCUGUGAACCCUGGGCCAUCAAAGUGGAGUGUGCAAACUUAACCGCUAUGCCACCGGGCUGACCCGAGAGUAUACCCAUCUUAAUCAUGAGAAAACUCCAAGUGAAGAGAAUGGCUCUCAACUAUAAGGAUAGAAAAUUAGUAAGUGCAAAAAAUCUUAAGCUGUAUUUAUCAGAGGCCCUAUUCAAUGCACUGUGCUUGAAACAUUAAAAUAUAAUAGGAAAUUACUAGGACAAGCUGUGUGACUUUGAGUGAGUGCCACAGCCUGGCUGCACGCCAGUCUUCUCCUGUGUAAGGAGAGAAGCAGGAACCCAGUGGUUUAUACGCUCUUUGCAGUCCAGCUUUAGAUGAUUCUGUAUUCCUUCCCAGCAGCGUGUGGAUUAUAAGGUAACAUCUUAAGGGUACUUUGAAACAAUUUUGAGUUUGAAGUUUUCUUUGAAAUGGUGAUUGUUGGAAAUGCCGUCUUGGGGGAGUGGGGUGUUGCCAAAUGGAGUAUAGGUUGAGUUUGGAAUCAGACGGAAUUGGGUUUGAAUAGAAGCUUUGCUAAUUAUUAGUCAUGCGUGUCCUUAGGUCAAUUACUUAGAUCCACUGGUUUCUUCAACUGUGAAAGGGCUGAUAACAGAGCCUAUUUCACGGGGUGGUUGGGGCUUAGGUAGACAAGGCGCGUGACUAGCACACAGGAAGUUCUCAAGAACCUUCAUCAUGAGAACUGCUAAGUUUGGUGUGCCAGAAUGAGCUUUACUCCCAGGGCAGCAGGGGAAACUGAGGUUUGGAGAAGUUGCCUCUUGAGAAAAAUUAGACAGCAAGUUAGUAAGGAAGCCAGAAAUCAUCUGUGGUUUACUCGUCCCAGUUUCAUACUCCUUCAUCAUCACAUAAUUCAGGAAAAAGCUGAAUGAAGACAAAGAUUUCUAAUGGAAGUUUGGGUGACGAUAUCAUUGCUUUCCUAACCAUGACCCAACACCGACUGCCAGUAUUAUGUGUGUACAAUCAUAUUUUAUCCAAGUAAGAUGGGAGAGUCAUGAAUAGACGCCACUGACCAACACAGAUGAGGCCUACACUCUUCUACCUGGCGUCCAAGAUCUCCCUUAGCUUGGCCUCGGUCAACUUUUCCAUGCUCACUUCCCAUUACAACCCCUCACGGGCCCAAGGUUUCAACUAAAAUCCAUAGCACAUCAUUCUCUUAACACAGGGCUUUCACCAUGCCUCUGCUAGAGCUGCUGCCUCCUUCUAGAAGACCUGAACUCUGUGUCACCUGGUAGCUUACCCCCCAUUCUUCAAGGCUCAGCCCAAAUGUCAGUCCUUCCUGGGUGAAGCCAUCUCCUCUUCCCUAGACAUACUCACUGCUCCUGGCCCUGACUGAGUUACCAAGACACCUGUGUUUAUCCCCAUGUUACUUAAUGAGGCCGAUGUGAUUUAGCUCUGGGACAUGUGGGUGCGGGACAUUCUCCUCCUUUGGCAAUUCCUGCAUAACCUAGAGCGGAUCCAAUCUUCCCAAAGAUGGGCAAGGUUUGCUUCUGCCAGGCCUCGGAAACCCAGAGAGUCUGAACCUUAACACAAAUGCGUGGUUGUUUUUCUAAGGAGGGAGCAAGAAGGAAAAUGUUCUCUCUAAUAUUUUUUGUUCCGUUCAGCAGCAAAAGCAAAUAAGAAAUGAAUAUCUUAAAUAGGUCAUCAUGCCACAGUCAUGAUUUAUGUUUUUCUCCAUUGUUACAGUGGGAAUCCUUUUUUUUUUUUCAUCUUUGGAACCUGAAUACCUGUGGCAGGGGGUAUUAGUAUAUGCAUGGUGGCUGCUCUGUGGUUCGUUGAAAGCUCUGACAAUGAGUCACUCACUUACUGAAUGAUCAUUACUGAAUCCAGUAAGGUGCUAGGGGCUCAGGAGACACACCAGCCUUUUCAGCUGAACUCAGAUCCAGCAUAACAUUCAGCCUUUUCAACCCCAGAGAAGGUCACUGUAUGGGGUUGCCCCACAGAGGUCUCUGUAGUUCUUUGCGCCUGCAUUCCACACACUUCCCCUUUGUGUCCAUCUCACUGUAAGGUCCCGCCCUCUCCUUUCUGCCUGUCUGAGCUCCAUCAUGCUUAGACAGAUCCCUCUCUCUUCUUGAAGACUUCCGGCCCCACGUACACUCUCAGAUACACAGUCUCUUCUCUUUUCCUCUAGUGGGUUUGUGUUUGCAUGUCUUAUCUCCUCUGUAAGACUCUAAGUUCCUGCACCAGGGGUUCUCAUCUUCUUUUAAACUCUUCAGUGUACUUAGCAGAUUGCUAGGUACACAAUGGGCUCUUAAUAAAUAAUUCAUUCAUCGGUAUGGACAUUCUUCACAUUCCAACAGAUGAAAGCGCGAUCCUCUAAUCUUGCUACUCAAAGUGUGGUGUGGACUAGCUGCAUUGGCAUCUUCUGGGAGCUUGGUAGAGAUGCAGAAUUGCAGCCCUGCCCAGAUCUACUGACUCAGACUCUGCAUUUUAACAAGCUCCCCAGGGGACUCGUAUGCUUGAGAAGCACUGCACUAAAUGACACCAGUUGCCAGACUCUGGAUAUUUCCUUGCUCACUUGGUCCACUGUUUUUGCUCCCCAUAUAUCUGGCUCCUCCCACAUCCCCCGACCCCCUCUCCUUCCCCUCCCUAGUGCUUCACUUUAACCAUUUUCUCUCCAAUAUUCUCCAUUCUCUUAUUCCUCUAGUCUCUCUAUUCCUGUCUACAACACACCAGCAACUCACUUUCUCCCGUCUUUUCUUGUUCUUGGAGCCUCUAGCACCUACCAUGCGACAUAACAGGGCCUCCUGUUGUUGACUCAAUACAUGCCUUGCUCAUCAAACACCUAUGUGAGAGGUAUUUGGCACGAAAUCUGAGCUCAGUCUUCUCUUGAAUAGGUUAUAGCUCUUUUUGCCAUUUCUGUUUAUCAGCUCACUCCUAACUGAGCAGAAGUUAGGAAUUCAUUGGCCAGCCAACCAUGUGGGGUGGCAGUGAAAUUUGUGCUCUUCCUUUAUAGAUGCAGCUGCUAAAAAGAAUUUGAGAGCUAAGCAGUCUUCAUUAGUUAUGCCUAAACCUUCAAUUCAAAGAAAAGUGUGCCUCACUUUAAGACACCCAAACACAGAAAAUCAUACUUGCAAGAAGGAAUGCCAGGGUUUGCUUUAAACAAUAAUUCUUCCACUUAAAAGACCUUCGAAAGGUCUUUAAUCUAGUAAUCUUUAAAGUGACUUGAAAAAUUAUAUUUACUCACAUCUUGAUAAGAGCACAGGUGUCUUGAAAUGCAGAGGAGAUGUAUCUUCAGUUUGUGUUGCUGUUCUUUAUACAGAAUCUAGGAAAAAGCCGCUUUGGAGCCUGCAUUACAAAGAAAAUUACCCCCAUUCCCCAUCUCCAUAUUUUGUAGCAGGAACUAAGCAGUUAAGUUCUGCUUCUGAAUAUCAUAUUACCUUUUGACUCACUUUUUCUACCUGAGGCUUGAUUUACAAAGAUAAUUUUCUUUAGACAUUUUAAAAAGCGAUUGUUCAUAAAAAAAAAAAAAGAGAGAGAGAUAUUCGACAGAGUCUUAAUGCCAAGGGCCGACAAUAAUUGGGUGGUUUGAGUUCUCUUCAUUUUUCUUAAAUCUCUGAUUGCUUGCAUAAUAACUUUCUUCCUCAAUCAAUUAGUCUAACAAUUCACAUCAAUAUUUUAUUUUUAAUGGUUGACUACUCAUUUCAUUAAAAAUGUAAGUGCAUGAGCUCGAUGUAAAAUGAUUCCAUUGGGAUAGGCUUAUUUAAAUAUUCAUAACAUAAAAAUUAAUAAAUCUGAGCACAGUGUUUGCAUUUUAAAAAGUCAGGCUAUUGUCAGAUGUAUUUGGUCCUAGAUGAGAUUCACUAAAUUGAAAACCUUGAGCAUCAUCUUUUUAUUGAUUCUUCUUUACAGUAAAAUAAUGCAAUGGAAAUGCUACGAGGACAGUAUUACUACCCAAUAGCUCAUUGCUUCUCUCAGCUUCAUCCAUUUAUAACUAGCUUCCCUUCCUUCAGUCUUUCAUGCUACCUUCCACUCAUAUCCCCUGGAUUCUGACUACUCAGUCAGCCUGUCUGAAAUCAAAGAAGUUAAAUGCUGGGUGUGCAUAAUGUUUAUUUCCAUUUUAUUCACUCUUUCUACCCCACUCCCCAAUUAAGUCAAUGAAUCAUAAUAGUGAACAGCAAGAGCUCUUGGGAAACUGUCUUCAUUGGGUUCCUCCCAACUGGAGGAAGAGGCAGAGGCAUCUACAUCACAGGCUGUUUGUUGUAGGUUGAUUCAUGAGCAUACAUAGCCUUAGAACCAGCAAAUUGACAAAUCUACACCUUGAGUUAGGAGGUGGAAGAAUCCAACCAGCGCAGAGCAUCUCUGAUAAGUUACCAAAGACUUGAAAAUGCCACUCAGAAAUAAGGAUGCUGGGGUAGGUAAGGCCUGUCCUCCCCCAGGAACCCCCAGUAGCAUGGUUUGGGAUUACUAUUUUCUCAUAUUCCGCCCCAAAUCACUACCCUUAGUGAAGCUUGUCUGGAUUAGACAGAAAAGGCCUCUGCUACAAAUAUGAGGCCACCUGGAAGGAUGGAUCUCAGGGGGGGUGACAUUUUGCAGCCUUCUACAGUCUCUAUCCCCAGUAGUCUGGGUAAUGCUUGUGAACCGAGUUAUUGGGAAGAACAUGGAAUUUGGAGUCAGGAGAGCGACGUUCUAACCAUUAUCUACUAAAUCUCUAAGUUCUCUUCUAGUUCUAAAAAUAUGUAUAAAAAGAGUAGAUCUUUAAAGAGAAAACCCAGGGCUGGACUGCCAAAUAGGUGACAGAAAAGUGAUCCAAUUCUACCCCAUAGGGACUUAGGUCACACUCCUUCAUCUGGAGCCCAUAUAGAGCCUCAAAAUCCUUCUCUACCCACUCCUUUGGGCAACUUCUGCAAAACGCUCUGAAUCAGCCCCUGAGCUGAACCUUCUUUGCCAUCCCUGAAGCCAUCGUCUUGGACUGUGAUGAUGUUCACAAAGAUUGGGAAGCUUUUCCUGCAAAUCUUCACCCGGAUCUGGGAAAAUUCUGCUCUCUGCCUGAGGGAUGCAGAUGAGGACAGUCCUGCUCCUUUGUGUGGCUUUGGAGGGCGUACAGGAUACAGAGAGAACGUGACUUGAAGAAAUGACGCUGUCUGUGAGUCCAGUUUAUUUGUGGACUCCUGAGGCUUGAGUGUAACCAGAGUAAAAUAAACGUAUAUAUGGAAACUGUAUCUGUGAAUUGCAUCCUAACCACUGUUUCCAUCUCUUUCUCUUUGCCUUUUAAUAUAGUUGAAAUGUCCCAAUAUGAGCUAGAAAACGUCUGUGUUUGUUGAUGAAAUCCAAUUGUAUGGAUAUGAUGGUGUUCAUAAAUCCUCUAAAUUCAGUGCUCUGGAAUUUUCCCAGAUUGAAAUCAAAUACACUCCUGCCUGGCUCUCAAAUUCCAAGUCAGUGGUAUCUCCCACCACACACAGCCUGUCCGUGACAUUCCUGUGGGAGGUUAUCACAAUGCAGGGACUGUGUGAGUACUCAGGGCUUAUCUAAUCAUGUUUGCUUGACACUUGUUUUACUG